AAGCACCGGCCAACUACGUGCCAUCAGCCGCGGUAAUACGUAGGGUGCAAGCGUUGUCCGGAAUUAUUGGGCGUAAAGAGCUCGUAGGCGGUUUGUCGCGUCGAAUGUGAAAACCCGGGGCUCAACUCCGGGCCUGCAUUCGAUACGGGCAGACUAGAGUUCGGUAGGGGAGACUGGAAUUCCUGGUGUAGCGGUGGAAUGCGCAGAUAUCAGGAGGAACACCGGUGGCGAAGGCGGGUCUCUGGGCAGUAACUGACGCUGAGGAGCGAAAGCGUGGGGAGCGAACAGGAUUAGAUACCCUGGUAG
rnacentral:rRNA from 1 species